rnacentral:rRNA from 1 species
GAUGAACGCUAGCUACAGGCUUAACACAUGCAAGUCGAGGGGCAGCAGGACGAUAGCUUGCUAUUGUCGCUGGCGACCGGCGCACGGGUGAGUAACGCGUAUCCAACCUUCCCCUUAGUAGAGGAUAGCCCGGCGAAAGUCGGAUUAAUACUCUAUGUUGUAUUUUGAGGACAUCUGACGAAUACCAAAGAUUUAUCGCUUAAAGAGGGGUCUGCGUCCGAUUAGGUAGUAGGUGGGGUAACGGCUUACCUAGCCGACGAUCGGUAACCGGUCUGAGAGGAUGAACGGUCACAUUGGGACUGAGACACGGCCCAGACUCC